AUUGAACGCUGGCGGCAGGCUUAACACAUGCAAGUCGAACGAGUGGCGAACGGGUGAGUAAUGCUUGGGAAUCUAGCUUAUGGAGGGGGAUAACUACGGGAAACUGUAGCUAAUCCCGCGUACCAUAGGAUGAGCCCAAGUGGGAUUAGGUAGUUGGUGGGGUAAAGGCUCACCAAGCCGACGAUCGCUAGCUGGUCUGAGAGGAUGACAGGCCACACGGGAACUGAGCAACGGCCCAGACUCCUACGGGAGGCAGCAGGGGGGAAUGUUGUGCAAUGGGCGCAACCUGACGCAGCAAGGCCGCGUGAAUGAAGAAGGCCGUAGGGUUGUAAAGUUCUUUCGGUGGCGAGGCGUUAGCUGCAGAAGAAGCACCGGCUAACUACGUGCCAGCAGCCGCGGUAAUAC
rnacentral:rRNA from 1 species